CAAGAGGUGUUUAAAUUAGAAUAUCAGCUUUGGGUGUUGAUGGUAGGGCAUAGGCUCUUCUCUUGA
rnacentral:tRNA from 1 species